AGGUUUUAAAACAUAGUAUAAUUUUUUCUUAAGAAGGCUUAAAAUUUAACUUCAAAUUUAAAAAAAUCUCAAAACCAGAAUAAUGUUGAGCCGGGGGACCAGAAUAAUGUUGAGCCGGGGCUGGAGGUACGUAAAUACUUUUUCCUACAAAAUUUGAUACUGGAAAAAGGUUAAAACGUUAACGCAGUUUAAUGCACACCCCAAGAUAUUAUAUAUGGUUUCGGAUCGAUGAUCGUAAUAUUUUUUGGUACUACUAAUUAUAUAUGUUAUCUUGACUAUUAAUAAAACUCUAUUUUUAUUCGUCAAGAUCAUCGAACCCGGUAAUAGAUAUUACAGUAAGAAUUUUUAAAGGUUUAGCAAUAUCGAGGUUUUAGUAACAAGUUCUUAUAAAAUAACAAUAACAAUAGUCUAUGUAUGGAGAAGGAAGUGUCGUCCGUCCGAGGAAAAAGUGUAAUCUAUAGUGAAUUUAAUAGGGUCGGAGAGAAUUGUCUAUAGUAUAAUCGUCAUUGUAACCGUUCUCAUAAUUUACUACCAUUAAUAAUUAAGAGUUUAUUAAUGGUAGUCAACGAUGUUUGCAAUCUGUGUUUGGUGAGUAUGGAAAUGGUGGUUUGGUAAUGUCUUUGGUUCUACUAGUAAAUGUCAAGAUAGGAGGCUUUGGUAAAGAACCUAACGCGGAAAGUUUACUUGGCACACACUACUAUGGGAACAAGGCAUAAUAAUACUCCGAGGGAAGAGCGGUUGAUUAAGUGGCUCUUUCCAAAUUAAGGGUGGGUGAAAUUGAAAACACAUGGAGCUUCUCGAGGCAAUCUCGGGUUAGCUACUGCUAGAGGCAUACUACAAGAUGAAGAACUGGUGUGGAGUUAUGAGGAAUCAGUGAAUCUCAUCCACUGUCCUUUAUAGUACGAAUAUGCUAUGAUUUUUUAUCAAAAAAUUGGUUAGUCGUAUUUCGCAUUGUAUGGAAAAGCUAAUCGUUAAGCAAAUGGAUUAGCGAGUUCAUCGUGUCUGGGGUUCCAUAUGUUUCACUGCUAGACAUUGUAGAUAUGUUCGUUUGUACUUAUUUUUUCUCGCUUAAUAAUAUUUUAUGGGGAUUUGUCUA